GGAGGGUAGGGGAAGGGGGUCUUUUCCCCAAGGAGCAAACCUCUCCCUUGGGGAAGUUCAUGAGGCCACGGGGCACUGAGUUCUUCCUGGUGGAGCUGCAGGAUGGCCUCGGCCAGGCGCUGCAACCUGCUCUUGCUCUGUUCAGCUUUGGAGGGUGAAGAUACCGGCUGGUUGGGUGGUGGGGCCCUGGCUGGACGGGAGAGAUCCUAGUCCAUGGCCUUCACCAGGUCCCAGCAACUAGGCCUGGGCAGAGGCUUGAUAAUCAGCAGGAUGGAUAAUCCGCCGGUAAAUAACGAGAAGCCAGCCUGCUGGCUGCAUAGCAGGAGGGUGUCUCAGUUGAAGCUCUUUGGUUAAAGGGAAAAGAAACCCUUCAGACGAGCAAACAGGAUUUAUGGAGGGGAUGGAACAGCGCAUCUCACAGAGACCUAAGAAGAGACGGGCCGUCUGGAAAAUGAGGGCAUCCAAGGCACAAGGAGAUUCCCAGGCAAAGGUGGAAUUGGAGCUGCAGCUGCCGGCCUACCCCAUAGCCACAGCAACGCCAGAUCCGAGCUGUAUCAGCAAAUUAUACCAGAUCCUACGGCACGGCUGGACCCUUAACCCACUGAGCAAGAAGAAACACACACAUGAUUGUAGAAAGCUUGGAAAACAGAAACCACCAAGAUGGAAGGGAAAAGCAGCUGUAAUCCAAGAUAACGGCUGUUAACAUACUGGAUAAAGCGUUGGACAUCUUUUGAUGUGAUAAGGCAACGCUGGACCACUGGAUAUGAUCCAGCAACAGGCAAAAAAGUUUUAAGAGCCCUGCCCAACCUGCUUCUUCAUUUACUUCUGCCUUGGUUGGUUGUGUGGCUACUGGAUGUCAGCCUGACUUCUGAGUGAAGGUCUGUUAAAGUGCUUUGGGAUGAGGAUAACGUUCUGGACGUCUCCACGACUCACCUGCUGCAGAGCAGAGCAUGGCAUGUGGAAUCUACUUAGCAAACAUCGAACUGGCAGGGGAAAGGUAUUAAACUUGGAGGGACUAGGGGCAGCCCCAGUCCCCAGCAGACAGACUGGCACAGCGUUACCUGUCCUGAAAGAGCAGCUCAGGGUCCCUGGGAGCAUCUCAGAUUGUCAAGAUCUUCCCCCACCCCUCUUUUAGUCCUGAUACAGACUCACUGUCACCAGGUGUAGCAUUGUUAUCCUUAUGAUCAUGGCUCUCACCUAGCUGUCUCCUGGCCUGCAUGGAAAAGAAGGUGUGAGCUUCUAGAUAGUGUCCCAGCCAAGUGAAAAUGAGGCAGAAGUUCCAGAACUGGAGAGCGGAAGCAGCCCUUAUGGGGAGGGAGGGAACCAAACACAUGGUCUUUGGGUUGGAAUCUGGCCCUCAGCCCCUCUGCCCCUUGCGGAACAUGAAAACAAAUCUCCUCUCGGUCCUGCUUGCUUGCUUCUUUAAUGGCAGGAGUGAGAGGCCAAAGGAGAUCCCACUGGGAACUCCCAGGAGGAAAGGCAGUAGUAAUAACAAUGAUGAGGAGAGCUUAUGGCUUGUUGAGGCUGCCGGCAAACAGAAAACAGGGCAAGUGGAGGCCACUCCUGGGGGCUGGGCGAAAUUUGCCCUCCUCUCGGCCUUUGAGGGUAGGAGGUGCAGGGAAGGGCAGAGGACGCAGGAAGACCUUGGGACCCUGUUUCAGACUCAUCACUGCUUUUGGACUUCCUAGGUGUGUGGGACUCCUGAGAAGCCCGCCUCCCUCCCCGGAGUUUCUUCCUCUCAUCGGAGAAUUCUGGCUUCUCCAUUUCUGACAAGAUGAUUCAAAGCAAAAGUGGACUUGUCAGAGACAGGAAGGGAAGAUAAGAUAAAAAUAAAAAGUUAGCCAGACUUAGAAGUUUUUCUGGCCUUAGUUCCUGCUCUCUCUCUCCCCUCCAACAUUUGCAUUCUUGCAAACAAAAAUCCCACAGCAAAGCCCAGAAGGGGGGCCCAGGCCUUAGGCUCCAGGUCAAGGCCUGAGGGCAGUGGAGGAAGUGAUUCAGGGCCCCCCGGGGGAUGGAGGAGCUGGAGGCUGGGGCCAGGACACAGGGCUGCGGGCAGCGGGUCAGCCUCAGUCCGGCUCGCAGUGCCCCUGCCCCCAUUCACCCACAGGCAGGCCAGCCCGGAGCCAGAGACGGGUGACUGAUGGGUCCCAGCUUGAAUGGAAAGUCCAGAUUCCAGGGAGACAGCCUAAGAGGUUGUUUCCUAGUUUAUCUGGACCAGAAGCACACAGAAUCUUGACUGUACCUUUAACAGUUAGGAAAAAACAAAACAAAACAAACAAACAAACAAA